AGAGUAUUACAGAGAAAGGAGAUGUGUGUUACAUGAAUUGUGUGUGUGUGUUUGAGACAGUGAGGGAGAUGAAGGGAAUGAUACAGAGAGGAAGAGAUCGAUAAACUCUAGAAGAAGGAAAAUGAAAAGAUGAAUUCUUGGCCAUUGGAUUACAAAUAAUCAAUGGUCAGAAAUAUUAAUCCAAAUUUUGAAGAAUGGACCAAUAAGAACGAAUGAGGAAGAUCACAAAAGAGUGAUUUUUAGCCUUUGGAU
rnacentral:lncRNA from 1 species